CUCUGGAACUCCCCUGUCCGGCUCGUUCCCUUGCGAGAGAGAAUUUCGAGAGGCAACUGGGUCGCUGCGCAGCCCCGAAACUACGGAGAGCUAAACUGCGAAGAUGCAGUUCUCGGGCCUUUUCUUGUUCUUCCUGGUCACUCUGGUGGCCCUGCUGACCUGCGCCACUCAGGCCGAAGGAUCUGCGCUCAGCACCAUCCUAGCUUCUAUCAAGUCCUUGUUGAAAGGGUUCUGCGAUGGGUCCGCUGACGAAGAGGCUCAGACGAACAAGUGAUCGCAGCCGGCAUUCCAAGGUGAAUGGCACGCCGCCGCUUCCAGCAGUUCACAAAUGAGACUUCAUGGUCGUUCAUGCGGUUGCGUUCGCUGCUAAAACAACCUUAUAAUCAUGUUACUCGAGACGCUAGCUCCUUUGGAAGUGCCUGGGAGAUAACGCUAAGAAAAAUUUAUUCUAGAAAAUAAAGAGAGAGAAAUGUGAUCAACAGAGCAUGAGUGGUCGAUGUUGACACAAUAAUGUUUCAUAAUUUUUUUAAAUGUUCUUGAAAAUAAACUUCUACAAGUGACCCUAA